rnacentral:rRNA from 1 species
GACGGAGGAUGCAAGCGUUAUCCGGAAUGAUUGGGCGUAAAGCGUCCGCAGGUGGCAGUUCAAGUCUGCUGUUAAAGCGCGGGGCUUAACUCCGUAUCGGCAGUGGAAACUACUAGACUAGAGUGUGGUAGGGGUAGAGGGAAUUCCCAGUGUAGCGGUGAAAUGCGUAGAUAUUGGGAAGAACACCGGUGGCGAAGGCGCUCUACUGGGCCAUAACUGACACUGAUGGACGAAAGCUAGGGGAGCGAAAGGG